rnacentral:tRNA from 1 species
GAGCUGGUGGCGGAAUUGGCAUACGCGCAAGACUUAAAAUCUUGUCCCUGAAAUCAGGGGUGAGGGUUCGAGUCCCUCUCAGCUCA